AUGAUCACCGUUAUCAAGCAUGGGAACACAAUUGCAACUAGUGAAGAGGAGAUUGCGGAGGAAGUGGAUAGCUACUACUCCAAUGUGCUCGGGGCAGCGCCAGCAAGGGCCCACUCAAUUAAUUUGGAUGUGCUGCAGCUGCCGAGGAGGAACUUGGAGCACUUGGAGGUGCCGUUUUCAGAGGAGGAGGUGGAAAGGGUGAUCAAAGCAAUGCCGCUUGACAAAGCGCCUGGCCCGGAUGGUUUUACAGGACGAUUCUACGCUUCUUGUUGGCAGAUCAUCAAGACCGAUGUAAUGAGAGCACUUCAAGCCUUCUUUGAGGGAGAUAUGAGAGGUCUUCUGGCUCUAAACAAGGCCAUAGUUUCUCUCUUGCCCAAGAAGGAUGGAGCGGUGGAUAUUAAGGAUUUCCGGCCGGUGAGUUUGGAGCAUGGCAUCAUAAAAAUCUUUAACAAAAUCCUGGCGGCAAGACUUGUGGUGGAUCUGCCGGCCCUAGUGGGAAAGCACCAAAGUGCAUUCGUGAAUAGGCGCUCGAUACAUGACAAUUUCAUGUUGGUGCAAUGCACGGCACGGAGGCUGCAUGUGCUCAAAAAUCCAGCAGUAAUGAUCAAACUGGACAUCUCAAAGGCGUUCGAUUCGGUCCAGUGGCCUUUCCUCAUAGAGGUCAUGUAA
rnacentral:rRNA from 1 species